rnacentral:rRNA from 1 species
GUAGGGGGCAAGCGUUGUCCGGAUUUAUUGGGCGUAAAGAGCUCGUAGGCGGCUAUUCACGUCGGAUGUGAAAGCUCAAGGCUCAACCUUGAGAGGCCAUUCGAUACGGGAUAGCUAGAGGUAGGUAGGGGAGAUCGGAAUUCCUGGUGUAGCGGUGAAAUGCGCAGAUAUCAGGAGGAACACCGAUGGCGAAGGCAGAUCUCUGGGCCUUACCUGACGCUGAGGAGCGAAAGCUGGGGGAGCGAACAGGAUUAGAUACCCUGGUAGUCCCAGCCGUAAACGUUGAGUGCUAGGUGUGGGGCGGUCUUCAACCCGCUCUGUGCCGCAGCUAACGCAUUAAGCACUCCGCCUGGGGAGUACGGUCGCAAGACUAAA